rnacentral:rRNA from 1 species
UACAGAGGUCUCAAGCGUUGUUCGGAUUCAUUGGGCGUAAAGGGUGCGUAGGCGGCGCGGUAAGUCGGGUGUGAAAUCUUGGAGCUUAACUCCGAAACUGCAUUCGAUACUGCCGUGCUUGAGGACUGGAGAGGAGACUGGAAUUUACGGUGUAGCGGUGAAAUGCGUAGAUAUUGUAAGGAAGACCAGUGGCGGAAGGCGGGUCUCUGGACAGUUCCUGACGCUGAGGCACGAAGGCCAGGGGAGCAAACGGG